rnacentral:ncRNA from 1 species
AUCGAAUCCGGUGAUGGAGCUCACCGUAUAAAUGCCCAUUGAGGAUGAUGGCUCCUGUGCAUCU